AUUUUUUCCAUUUAACUGUGUCUUCAAUAUUAAUUUUAAUCUCGCUACGUAUUGAUCUUUCAACUGUGUUUUCGUUUUGGUAUGAUUGAUGUGGGAGGAUUGACAGAAACCCAGAUAUUUGUAUGUAUCGUUUCGUUCUUGGGCUUCAAUUAUUUCCUUAUUCUGUGUUAUAUGUGGUACUUGGUGAAACACGCCUUUUCUGAUUGCUUGGGUCUUACAUUUCUCAAUACCAAAGGACAUACCGAUAUCACCGGAAAAUUGUUCAGUCAGAUUUAAUAGGUUUGUUAACUGAUUUUGUGUACUUGCAUAUAUUUUUAUGUCAUCCAUAUACAGCAAGUGACUUAUUCUGUUUUCUCUUUGUUUGUUAAUUCUUAUAUUGAACCCAUAAUUGCAGCUGUUCAGGAUAUCGGAGAGGGGAUUUAUUGCUAAGCAGAACCAUAACGGGCUAAGAGAAUCGCCUUGAAAAAUUCCUCUUCGGAUCAUUAUUGGGUCUGACUGAAUUGUUUGUUCAUUUAAGGUUAUUUGGAGGGUGGUCUUCCAAAAUUCCAUGGAACAUUUGAGAAAUGUGCAGAUUUUAGUAUCAAUCUUGUAUAAUUCCAGAAUUUUGCAUAGCCAGGAAUGAGGGACAGAAUCCUUGUUCACAGAUGAUGGAAUCUAUGAUUAAUUGCUCUUUGCAGCCAAAGGAUCCUUUAAUACAUCCUUUCUGUUCUUCAUUAAUGAUGUCAGAGUUAAAACAGUGUUGAUAUAUUUUUUGUGUAAUGCAUGAGGUUAAUAUUUUAUAGAUUGUCGGUAAACAUGUGAUAGGUCUGUAUUUUGAUGGAUUUUUUGUGUCGUUAUCUUUAGGUUUUAAGUAUGUUACACCAUGACAUAAGAAUGUUGGAAAAGAGGAUGGGUCAAGAAGGAACUGAUUUAAAUGAUGUAGUAAAUGAAUAUGUACACAAUUUAAUUUUUUUAUCCAAAAAUUAUGGAUUUUGUCUGGUCCUGGUGAUUUCCAGUUGUGUGUCUUAUUGAUGGUAUUUAUUAAUUAAUUUAUUUAUUAUUGGUCUAUUAUCUAUUAUAUUAUUAUCUGUAUUAUUACUUCUUGCUGCUAAUAAAUGAAGAAAAAAAUGACUAAAAA